AUUGAACGCUGGCGGCAUGCCUUACACAUGCAAGUCGAACGGUAACAGGUCUUCGGAUGCUGACGAGUGGCGAACGGGUGAGUAAUACAUCGGAACGUGCCUAGUAGUGGGGGAUAACUACUCGAAAGAGUGGCUAAUACCGCAUGAGAUCUACGGAUGAAAGCAGGGGAUCGCAAGACCUUGUGCUACUAGAGCGGCCGAUGGCAGAUUAGGUAGUUGGUGGGAUAAAAGCUUACCAAGCCGACGAUCUGUAGCUGGUCUGAGAGGACGAUCAGCCACACUGGGACGGAGACACGGCCCAGACUCCUACGGGAGGCAGCAGUGGGGAAUUUUGGACAAUGGGCGCAAGCCUGAUCCAGCAAUGCCGCGUGCAGGAUGAAGGCCUUCGGGUUGUAAACUGCUUUUGUACGGAACGAAAAGCCCUGGAUUAAUACCCUGGGGUCAUGACGGUACCGUAAGAAUAAGCACCGGCUAACUACGUGCCAGCCGCCGCCGUAACAC
rnacentral:rRNA from 1 species